rnacentral:rRNA from 1 species
UACGUAGGGUCCGAGCGUUGUCCGGAAUUACUGGGCGUAAAGAGCUCGUAGGUGGUUUGUCGCGUUGUCCGUGAAAACUCACAGCUUAACUGUGGGCGUGCGGGCGAUACGGGCAGACUGGAGUACUGCAGGGGAGACUGGAAUUCCUGGUGUAGCGGUGGGAAUGCGCAGAUAUCAGGAGGAACACCGGUGGCGAAGGCGGGUCUCUGGGCAGUAACUGACGCUGAGGAGCGAAAGCGUGGGGAGCGAACAGG